UUUCUCUCGUGCAUGUCCUCUUCUCUCUCUUUUCACCCAAAAUACUGUUUUGUCUUCCUAUGUACACACAAUCACCGAAUGUUAGAACAAAGACCAUUGUUUUUUCCUUUUCCUUUUCCUUCUCUACACUUCUGCCUCCAUAUCCCAAAGACCCAUUGCCUGCAAACAGCCAACUCGAUUUCUGCUGGUGAGUUCCUUUUCCUUCUCUGUUUUAUAGGCUAUGGUGGACGAGAUUUGCUCUUCUUCCUCUGUCCUGAAAGAACCCCUAAAUCCCCCAAUUUUGGUUGAAACCCAUCUCAAUCAAACACCUUUCUCCGUUUCUUCUAGGCCAAUCGUUUGUAGUAGUGCCCAAACCCCAUGGGUUUUUCCUUUCCUUUUCAACUCUAGGCCUUUGUUGUGUCUGAUUUCCACUUCUUAAUCUGCCCCCAAAGAACCUGAAAAUCAACCAAUGGGUUAUCCAUCUUAACAAUAUAAUAGGAUUGAGUUUGCUUAGCUUAGCUUUUUGAGAGUAUAAGCUGAGGAGGAACAAUAGCCAGAAGAUAAUGACUGAAAGUGAAUGCAUUUUGACUUCUACGUGGGUCGUUCAAUUGGAAUGGAAUGUGGAUUGUUUGUGUCCAUACUCUUACAAGUGGUGCUUUUUGAAACAGCAAAAACAUUUGGCUUUGUUGUUGCUAUGAUAUCUUAUUACUUUCUUAA